rnacentral:rRNA from 1 species
AUUGAACGCUGGCGGCAUGCCUUACACAUGCAAGUCGAACGGUAACAGGUCUUCGGAUGCUGACGAGUGGCGAACGGGUGAGUAAUACAUCGGAACGUGCCUAGUAGUGAGGGAUAACUACUCGAAAGAGUGGCUAAUACCGCAUGAGAUUUACGGAUGAAAGCAGGGGAUCGCAAGACCUUGUGCUACUAGAGCGGCCGAUGGCAGAUUAGGUAGUUGGUGGGAUAAAAGCUUACCAAGCCGACGAUCUGUAGCUGGUCUGAGAGGACGAUCAGCCACACUGGGACUGAGACACGGCCCAGACUCCUACGGGAGGCAGCAGUGGGGAAUUUUGGACAAUGGGCGCAAGCCUGAUCCAGCAGUGCCGCGUGCAGGAUGAAGGCCUUCGGGUUGUAAACUGCUUUUGUACGGAACGAAAAGCCCUGGGUUAAUACCCUGGGGUCAUGACGGUACCGUAAGAAUAAGCACCGGCUAACUACGUGCCAGCCGCCGCGGUAACAC